GCCUGAAUUACCGAGGGUGUAUUUCCGAAGGCUUUGCGGCCGUCGGUAAAUGUGAUUUACCGAGGGUCAAAAAGUGAAUCACCGACGGCCUUAAUGAAAUAACGUUACCGAAGGUCAAGAAGACCUUAGCGAGGGCUCUGUGGCCUUCGGUAAGAGCGUCCACCAAUUAAACUCAGUAAUUGGAGUUAUUCGUGCAGCUCGUCCCCAAUUUCAUCAAACAGAACCCUCCCUCCCCUCUGAUGAGAACUACUGAAAAUUUGGUUGUACUCCCUUUGCCUUCCUUUUGGCUUGCUAUCGUUCAUUCUCUUCCUAUCCCUCUACCUAUCUCUUCUGUUCGGUGGCAUUGUGUGCCUAGGGUUCUUCGUGCCGUUGUGGGUGUUGCGGGUGGGGUGGUGGUUCUUGGUUGUGCGUGUAAGGGUUGUGCGACGGGUAGGGUGGUGAUUCGUGGUCAUUAGCGUGAGGAGGUCCUUGCAGUGAAGCCCAAGGUUGGCUGUUCGGUUGAGAGCUCCCGGUGUUGCUUGGCUUCCAUUGAAUUGGGUGUUCUGGAGUGCGAGGGUGAGUUUUUAAAGGAGUUAUAAUUGUGGCCAGAAGGGGAGGAAGAGAGUCUACAAAGAAGACGUGAGCAGGAAAGGAAAGCAAAGGCAAAUAACAUGGCCCAUUUUCUCAACCACCAUGGAUGGAUGUAGGACCGUUGUUAUAGCAGAAGGAGAGGUUUGAAGGAAGCUUUUGUCAUCGGAGUUGAAGAGUUUGUGGAGACGACUUGACGUUAUCAAUAUUAAUGUCUUGAUGGAGGGAUUUGAUGCCCAUGCAUCAAGUGCGAAUGUACAAGGAUUUUGAAAGAUGAAGUCGUCAAAGUUCACCUAUACCAAAAAGGGUUCAUGCCUAAUUACACGGUUUGGAUAUUUCAUGGUGAAGAAAUUCCUUCCACCUCCACUACAGCUGAAAAGCGGCUUGCAUCAGGUUUGAAUAAUAUUGUAC